UACAGAGGUCGUCAAGCGUUGUUCGGAUUCAUUGGGCGUAAAGGGUGCGUAGGUGGCGCCGUAAGUCGGGUGUGAAAUUUCGGAGCUUAACUCCGAAACUGCAUUCGAUACUGCGGUGCUUGAGGACUGGAGAGGAGACUGGAAUUCAUGGUGUAGCAGUGAAAUGCGUAGAGAUCAUGAGGAAGACCAGUGGCGAAGGCGGGUCUCUGGACAGUUCCUGACACUGAGGCACGAAGGCCAGGGAGCAAACGGG
rnacentral:rRNA from 1 species